UAAAGUGAAAUUUAUUUUAUGGCCGACAACAAUUUGUGUGUAUUGAUAAACAUGUCAGGAAAUGAAUGGCGUAGGUAGUCUCAGUGUGGACUUUUAGGUCAGAAAUUUUCGAGUCAGAUAACCUUUGUUUAUCCAAACCAAAGCAAAAAAGAUGAGCAAAUCAGGCUGCUCAAAGCUUCACAUCGCCAUGUUUCCGUGGGUUGCAUAUGGUCAUUUCAUUCCUUUCCUUCAUCUCUCAAAUAAGUUGGCUCAUAACGGCCAUAAAAUUUCCUUCAUUUUGCCUAAAGGAGUGCAACCAAAGCUGGAAAACAGGAACCAAUACCCCAACUUGAUUCAAUUCGUUCCUCUGGUUAUACCCCAUGUCGAUGGCCUUCCUCCAGGUGCUGAAACUACAUCUGUUGUUCCUCUGAACCAACAAAAAUACCUUGCUUUUGCAGUAGAUCAAACCAGGGACCAAGUUGAAGGCAUCCUAGGGGCUUUAAAACCUGAUAUGGUUUUUUAUGAUUUCUGGUUUUGGAUCCCAGACUUGGCUCGCCAACUUGGGAUCCACCCCAUAUGCUAAGUAGUGGUUUCCUCGAUGAUCAUGUCGUUAGGGUCAAACAUCAGGACGCUAACCAAAGAAAUGACUGUAGAAGAGGUGACGAAAUUGCCUCCCGAUUACCCUUCUUCCACUGUGAAAUUCAAAGCUGAAGAGGCUGCUGCUUUGUUGUUUGAGGCUGAGGAUUUCCGGAGUGGACUGUCGUUUGGGGAACGGAUAAGGACUGCUGUGAGUGGAAGUGAUGCCAUUGCCUUCAGGACUUGCCGUGAAACCGAGGGACCAUUUUGCGACUAUGUUGCUCGAGGAUAUGGGAAGCCUGUUUUGUUGUCAGGGCCUUGCUUGCCUGAAACAAAGACCCAACAGCUUGAUGAGAAAUGGGUUAGUUGGUUAAGCCAGUUCGAGCCAGGUUCUGUUGUGUUUUGCUCUUUAGGAAGCCAGAGUGUGUUACAGAAGGACGAGUUCCAGGAGUUGGUGCUUGGGUUUGAGCUAUGUGGGCUACCAUUUUUGGUAGCUUUAAAGCCACCCCAAGGAUGCUCAACUGUUGAAGAAGCACUGCCCGAGGGAUUUCAAGAUAGGGUUGGAGGAAGAGGGUUGGUGUAUGGAGGUUGGGUUCCACAAGAGCAGCUAUUGCACCACCCUAACAUCGGGUGUUUCGUUAACCACUGUGGGUAUGGAACGAUGUGGGAAUUUUUGCUUAGUGACUGCCAAGUGGUGUUGAUACCUGAAAUUGGGGAUCAAAUUUUGAACACCAGGUUGAUGGCGAAUGAGCUCAAGAUUGGGGUAGAAGUGGAGAGAGGUAAAAACAGGGAGGUUCCAAAGGAGUCAUUGAGUGAAGCCAUCAAGUUUGUGAUGGACAAGGACAAUGAAACAGCUAAUCUGAUGAAGAGAAACCAUGCUAAGCUGAAGCAAAUGCUAUCUAACAGGGAUCUUCAAGAAGGAUAUAUCAACAAUUUCAUUCAAGCUCUGCAAGAUUUGUCAAAUAUGAAGUCCAAGUCGCAAAACAAAAUGAUUAAACCCGAUGAUGUUUGGUAAAUAGUUUUGAGGUGUUCUUGCAUGUAAUGUUCUGCCAUGAAAACUGACAUCACCGUUAUUCUAAACAUGUUAAGAUUGCUGCUUCUUUCUAAGAGCAAAUUUAAUUUCCAAACUAACACACAGAUCAAGAAAUAUAGCACUCUGGACCUGCAAAUACUCAAGCACAUAUUCAAUAUAUACGGCAAAUUCGACAUGAAAAAGAAAAAUAAUGGAGAAGGCAAUAUAGUUGAAAGUUGAAUAUAAUAGCAUGAGACUUCAUAAUGGGAGUCUGUACAAUUGUUGAUAAUUACAGAGCCAACAAAUAAAUGAUUGUCUGUUAGAUCUUGUCAAAUAGAGUUGCAAAAUCCAAGCAAUUGGUUAGAAAAUGAAUGUGAAUCAUAGGUAUGAUUAUUGUUUGUGAUGGUGUGUUGUGGCAUAUUAGUUAGAAUUAGAUAAAUGACAUGAUUUAGUAUGUUUUUGGUAUGAUAUAAUAAAAUGGAAUUAUUUGUUAAUGGUAUAUUUGUGGCUUAAUUAUGAAUGAAUAUACAUGACUUACAUUUGAAGGUAUUUUUAAGCGUACACGGGUUACUACAUGGUUUUGUGCUUUACAUUGGAAUGUUACAAAGUCGUGUGUUUUAUUUGAUUUAAGUGUUAAUUGGUAUACAUGGCCACAGUCUUUUAUAUGAUCUGGAGACAUGGCUGUGUACCUCCACCUACAUGGUUUUAAUCAUCACACACGGUGAAACAACACAACUAUAUCUCAUAGCAACACAUAGCCUCAGCUUAUCAUACGGCUUCGUCACAUGGACAUCCAACAGAGUGAAUGAUUUCUUGGCGUAACUAGUGAAGAUUAACGACCAUUAGCAAUACUUUCCACUACUUUCCACUAGUAUAAUUUCAAUCAUGGUUUAUUUAUAACAAAGUCCUUGGAAAAAUCUCCUUAUAAGCCCGGCUUUUCUUUUACUUAUGUGUUAAUCCUCUUUCUUACAUUUAGCUAGCUACUUUAAUCUCCUUUACAAAUUAGUCCAUCAAUUUGACUAUUUACUCAAAUUCAAUAUUCUUUUUGGCGUCACAUUAAAUUAAUCAAGUCAAAUACCAUAACUACAAUCUGAGAAAAUUAAUUAUUGACUCGUUACACUUACCCUCAAAGUGGAGCAUGGUAGUUUGGAUCUUCGUAACAUCCAGGGACCAUUUUUCACCACUACCCUUGGAAAUCCUCAUUUUAACACUUGGAGCAUUCUAGCUUAAAAAAUCUCUCCCCUUACUCCUAAGAACACUAAUGAAUGGAGCCAUAGUCCUUUUUAGGCUUGAGGGCUUUUCUAAUUAUGGCUUCCCAUUUGGGUUUUAUUCACCAAUGGAGAUGUCAUCAAGAUUCUGUCACCCAUGUCAUUGUCAAUUUUUCAUGAUAAAAUCUCAAAGAGAUCUUUAAUUUUCACUUUCCUUUAUCCAUGGAACCUUUAAAAUUAAUCAUUUAUUUUCACUUUCCUUUAAUCAUGGAACCUUUUGAAUCAGUCAUCGAUGUGUCUAUCAAUUUGUUGGACCUCUUGCAAUCUUGCAAGUUCUAGAUUUUGACUCACCUUUUUUUGUAGUCGGGUGGUUGUAACAUCUACCAUGGUAAAAUCUUAGCUUUGAUAAUACAGACGAAAUUGCAAAUUGAAAGGAAAAAGGAUGGAGAGAGAAAAAAAUGAUUAGAGAAGAAAAUGAAAAAAAGAGGUAAUACAAUUAUGGCCAAACAUAAUCCUUCUCUAACGCAACGUUUCAUCUAUUUUAUUUGUUAUUUUGAUAUAAUGAUAUCAUUUACAUCAUUUUAUGGAAAAAAAAUUAACCAACUAAAAAAAUUCUCCAACAACUACCAAAAACUUCUCGCCAUUUGGUUCUCAUCCAAAUCGAGAUUUUCAAAAAGAAAUUGGAGAUUCAACCUCACCUUAAUUAUGAGUAGAAUCAAUGGUUGAAUUCUUUUGGGAUAAAUAUAAUAAAAUACUUUCAAUAUGGAUAAACAUGAUGAAUAAAAAAGGCGUUUGUUGUGCAAUUGUUAAUGGAAGGCUUUAUAAUUAGAUCGGUUUUUUCUCUCAGAUCACAUUGUGCAAGCAAAAAAAGAAAGAUGAGAAAAUCAGGCCACUCAAAGCUUCACAUCGCCAUGUUUCCAUGGGUUGCCUAUGGUCAUUUCAUCCCUUUCUUUCAUCUCUCUAAUAAGCUGGCUCAUAUAAGCUGGCUCAUAAAGGCCACCAAAUUUCCUUCUUUGUGCCCAAAGGAGUUCAACCAAAGCUUGAAAACAUGAACCAAUACCUCAACUUGAUUCAGUUCUUUCCUCUACUUAUACCCCAUGUCGAUGGCCUCCUUCCAGGUGCUGAAACUACAUCUGUUGUUCCUCUGAACCAACAAAAAUACCUUGCUUUUGCCGUAGAUCAAACCAGGGACCAAGUUGAAGGAAUCUUAAAGGUUAUAAAACCAGAUAUGGUUUUUUAUGAUUUCUGGUUUUGGAUCCCAGACUUGGCUCGCCAACUUGGGAUCCUCCCCAUAUUCUAUGUAGUGGUUUCCUCAAUGUCGAUGGGGUUAAACACCAAGGCACUAACCAAAGAAAUGAAUGUAGAAGAGGUGAUGGAAUUGCCUACUGGUUGCCCUCCUUCUACGGUGAAACUCAAACCUGAAGAGGCUGCUGCAAUGUUGUUUGAGGCUGAGGAUUUCGGAAGUGGACUGUCGUUUCGGGAACGGAUAAGGACUGCUGUGAAAGGAAGUGAUGCCAUUGCCUUCAGGACUUGCAGUGAAAUCGAUGGACCAUUUGUGACUUUGUCGCUGAAGGAUUUGGGAAGCCUGUUUUGUUAUCAGGGCCUUGUUUGCCUGAAACGAAUACCUAACAGCUUGAUGAGAAAUGGGUUAGUUGGUUGAGCCAGUUCGAGCCAGGAUCUGCUGUGUUUUGCUCAUUUGGAAGCCAGAGUGUGUUGCAGAAGGCUGAGUUCCAGGAGUUGGUGCUUGGGUUUGAGCUAUGUGGGCUGCCAUUUUUUGUAGCUUUAAAGCCACCCUAAGGAUUCUCGACUGUUGAAGAAGCACUGCCAGAGGGGUUUCAAGAUAGGGUUGGAGGAAGAGGGUUGGUGUAUGGAGGUUGGGUUCCACAAGAGCAACUAUUGCACCACCCUAACAUCGGGUGUUUCGUUAACCACUGUGGGUAUGGAAUAAUGUGGGAGUUUUUGCUUAGUGACCGCCAAAUUGUGUUGAUACCUGAAAUUGGGGAUCAAAUUUUGAACACCAGAUUAAUGGUGAAUGAACUCAAGAUUGGAGUUGAAGUGGAGAGAGGUAAAAACAGGGAGGUUUCAAAGGAGUCAUUGAGUGAAGCCAUCAAGUUUGUGAUGGACAAGGACAAUGAAACAGCUAAUAUGAUGAAGAAAAACCAUGCAAAGCUGAAGCAAAUACUGUCUAAUAAGGAUUUUCAAGAAGGAUAUAUCAACAAUUUCAUCAAAGCUCUACAAGAUCUUGUCAAAUAGAGGGUCCAAGUUGCAAAACAAGAAGAAAAUAUCCAUUUCAUUAUUUGGAAUGAACUGAAGAGUAGUCCUCGCAGGUUAGCUCUCAAAAGGAUUUGGUCAAGGUUCUUUCACCAUGUUAAACGACAUCUAAUGAUGCUACUCAUUUUCUAGCCAAAAAUGGACUGAAUAGUAAUACUGCCACUAUGUGGGUGGAAGAUUACCCACCCUUUCUUCAUCUUUAUGUCAUCACUGAUGCUAUGAAAAUGUUCAAUUUCAAGAACAUUAGCAAAUAAGUCAUCCAAUAGGCUAAUGUAAUUUGGAAUGAAUGUUGUUCCUAAUCUACACUUAAAAAUGUCAUCAUUUAUUUAUCUUUCUUUUUUGCGUUAAGGGUUAAAUAAGUUCAAUUCAGUCUCAAUUAACCUCUCAAACAAUAAAAGCAUACCAAUUAUACUCUGAUAGUUAAUGUGUUGAUGUGGCUAUUCAUGACAGCUGAAUAGACUAUUAUGAUGCCAACAUGGCAAGUCCACAUCAACAAAAAUAUUUUUUUAAAAAACUAAAAUUAUGAGAUAAAUAUUAAAUUUAUACAUGAACUUUGCUCCAAUGUGCAAUUUGAUAGAUGAACUUUAAUUUGAUAUAAUCAUAUGCAUGAAAACUUGAAUUGUGAUUCAUAUAUAUACAUGAAGUUUUGAUUUUGAUUCAGUUGUACAUUUAAAUAAAAGAAUACAUACAUUUAUUUUUGUAUUGAAUUAAUAGAAUGGUUUGUGUAUGUAAUAUAUAAACAUAAAAUUGUACUUAUUCGAUAAUGUUGUUAGUGAUUUAAGAAAUUGAAUCGAAUAAAAAUAUCUUAUAUAAAAUCGCAUAAGGUCAAUAUUCAUGCAUUGCAUUACCCAUUAAGUCAAGAUUCAUGUAUAAUUUUGAUAUUUAUUCUUGUUGAUUUUUACUUCUCUCACGAGAGAUAAAUAUCAUUUUUAAUAAGAUUUUGAAGUUAUUCUUGUUGAUUUUUUUAUUUAAUUUGUUUAUUGUAACUUUAGUGUUUGAUAUAUUUUCAAGGUCAUUUUAUCUAUCGGCUGUUAAUUUUAAUACAAGAUAUAAGAAUGCAAUGUCAAGCAACACAUAUUAUUAUGAUUAAACAUGUGCGUAAUUUUUUUUUAAAAAAUGAGAUAUAAGACAAAAAAUAAAUUUAUGUAGCAUAUACAUAUAAAUUUUUUUGAAUGUUGAUUUAUCAUUUAUAUAAAUUUGUGUAGUAGACAUAUAUAAAUUGUUUUGAAUUUUCAUUUAUCAUUUUUAUAUAAUUUUUAAAAAUUAUAUACCAUAAUGUUGGCAUAAUUUGGCUAGAACAUGGCACUUUCGAUAGCAAAAAUGUAAGCUCAAAUAAUCAUACACAACUAAGCAUCAAAACAAACACAACACAUAUCAACUUAUACCGCAUCCACAUAGCUCAUUUUAAUGACACAAUCCAUUAACAAUCUAUAAGAUCAUAUCAUUUACGUGUUAUUCAUUUCAAUGCAACAAUCAUUUGAUUCAUCAAUUUCAUUCCAUUUCCUUUUUAAAUUUCCAGAUUUGAGUAACUUAUUUCGCUUGAUGGAACCCUAGUAAACGGACUUGAGUACAUGUGUAAACUAUACUACACCAGUUACUCGUCCAAGUUAAAUAUAAAUAUAUCAAGUUACUCAUCUGGGCUAAACCUUUAUAACAACACAUCAGAUUACUCACUCGAGCUAAACCUGUGUCACAUAAUACAUGAGAAUAUGCAAUAAAUGCUGGACCUCGAUAACAUCUGUAAUAAAUCUCGUACAAGCACGCACUAAACCCUAUUGGCAUGUGUUAAAUAUGACUCUUAUUUUCAGUCAAAUUUGAGAAAUAAUCUUUCAGUUAAACUCUAUUUAUCUAUUUCAAUCAAACACUAAUUAGUUUAUAUUACUUUAUUAUUAUUUGACCUAUGAAUUUAGCCUAUAAAUAGGCUCUUUUACAACCUUAGAAAAUACACCCAUUAGAUAUUAGAACUCAUAACACAUUUAGAGAAUUUUAUGUUUACGUUUUCAGGGUUCUUUGUUUUCAGGUUUUCAGGGUUUAGUUUUUAUCUCCAUCUUUUGUACUCUUCGUUCUUUUGCCAUUAUAGUAAAAUUAUCUUUGCCCGUGGGUUUUUAUCCUCUUUAGAAGGGUUUUUCCAUGUUAAAUUUGUGCGUAUAAUUUCUCAAUUUAUUCCGCUAUUUUUUGUUUUACUUGUUGCUUAAUCGAGUCUAUCCUAACAAGUGAUAUCAGAGCUAGUUCAAUUUUCAUAGAUCAGCUUAUUCAGAGAUGGCAACAACAAGGUUUAAAAUUGAGAAGUUCGAUGGUGAGAAAAAUUUUAAUCUGUGGCAAGUUCGAAUGAUGGCAAUUCUAGUUCAAUCCGGCUUGAAAAAGGUUGUUAUCGGGAAAAAGCUUGAGAAUCUAAAUAAAACAAAAUGGGAAGAGCUUGAUGAAAAGGCUUUGUCUGCAAUCUAGUUGUAUCUCGCAAAUACAGUAUUGCAGGAGGUAUUGAUAGAGAAAACCUCAUCCGCCUUAUGGAAAAGGUUAGAAACUCUUUAUACGACUAAGUCUCUGGCUAACCGUUUAGUGUUGAAACAACGUCUAUUUAUGUUUCGCAUGAAUGAAGGUGAGCUUCUUAGAGAUCACAUCAGUCAAUUCAUUACUCUUUUAAAUAAUUUAAAGAAUGUUGAGUUUCAUAUUGACGAUGAAGAUCACGCUAUGCUAUUAUUGUGCUAUUUACCCCCUUCAUACAAGUCUUUUAGAGAGAGACAAACUCUCGUUCGAAGAUGUGAAGGGUCACUUGUUUAGUAGAGACAAACUCGACAAUGAGUUUCAUUUGGAUAGCAAGAUAGAUAAGUAAACUUCCGUUUUGGUAGCAUCAAAGAAACGAGACAGAAAGUGUCACUAUUGUAAAAAAGUUAGGUCACGUCAAAGCAGAUUGUUAUAAACUACCAAAUAAAAGAGCUGCUGAGAGUAACGAGGAAGCUGUAACUAGUGCUAAUUUGGCCGAUGAAGACGGUGAUGAUUUCUUGUUAGUGUUAAAGAGCGAUAACUCCAAGUUCAAGUCCGAGUGGAUCCUAGAUUCGGGAUGUUUUUUCCACAUGUGUCCCAAUAGAGAAUGGUUCUACACAUACAGUUCGGUUGAAGGUGGAGCUGUGCUCAUGGGAAACAAUUCAUCUAGUAAGAUAAUUGGUAUUGGUACUGUUAAAAUUAGGAUACACGAUGGGACGAUUAUGACACUCUCAGAUGUCAAGUAUGUACAUGAUUUACGAAAGAAUCUCAUCUCAUUGAGUAUUUUAGACUUGAAAGGAUGCAGAAUCAACAUCAAGUCAAGCGGCAUUAAAGUAUCUCGUGGAGCUCUCAUUUUCUUAAAAUGUAAAAGAAUCGGCAGUCUUUAUAUUCUGGAAUGUUCUACAGUGACUGGUGAAAUCGGACGUCCCUCGUCCAUUAUGGAGUCGAAGUCAACUCAUUUGGAGCAGAGGCAACUUGGUCAUAGGAGGGAAAAAGGUAUAACCGUUUCGUUGAAGAGAGGUUCUAUUUUGGAUGCAGAUUUUGAAAAGUUAGGGCACUGUGUUCGUGAAAAUUAGACUUGAGUUAGUUUUGAUUUGGUAGUGUACAAGUCCAAGGCUAGAAGUCUUCCAAUUUCUAAGCACAAAUUUGACUCAAUUAACUCCCUACAUAGUUUAAGAUAGGUUCGUGGCGGGCUUUCUCAAAGAUGGUGUUGUGGAAAUAUAAGUCAAGGUGGAGAUUUGUUAAAUAUGACUCCUAUUUUGAGUUAAAUUUGAGAAAUAAUCUUUCAGUUAAACUCUGUUUAUUUGUUUCAAUCAAACACUAAUUAGUUUAGAUUGUUUUAUUAUAUUUGACCUAUAAAUUUAGCCUAUAAAUAGGCUCUUUUACAGCCUUAGAAAAUACACCCAUUAGAUAUUAGAACUAAUAACACAUUUAGAGAAUUUUGUGUUUACGUUUUGAGGGUUCUUUGUUUUCGGGUUUUCAGGGUUUAGUUUUUAUCUCCAUCUUUUGUACUCUUCGUUCUUUUGCCAUUAUAGUAAAAUUAUCUUUGCCCGUGAUUUUUUAUCCUCUUUAUAGGGGUUUUUUCACGUUAAAUUUGUGUGUUCAAUUUCUCAAUUUAUUCCACUAUUUUUUUUACUUGUUGCUUAAUCGGGUCAAUCCUAACAGCAUGUCAAUCAAAUCCUAACUUUUACUAAGUUCAUACGGGCAUCGAUUUCGCUUAUUUCAAUAUCAAACCUAUAAAAUAGGGUUACAUAUGACAUUUCUAUAUUAUGUAAUCAUUCGUAUUUAUGCAUUUGUAUCCUGUAUUAUUACGUAAUAACCAACUUUAUACAACAUUCCAAUUCAGUCAGAUACUAGCUAGUUAUACCAAAUUCCAAGAUAUUUCAAUUAUAUACAAAUAUUCAUAUAUUAAUUAAAUACAAUAUGCACAAAUAUUACCAAAUGAAAUAGUAAGCUCCAUAUGAACUUACCUAAUCAAAACACAAACAAGUUGAUUCUUCAGGGACUAAUUAACAAUUUUAGUUUUUCCUCGAUUGACUUUGCUUUGAUCCGAUUCUUAAUCUAUAAAAUUAUUUCAUAAAAUCAAUAAAUAUUAAACAUUCUCAUUUUACACCAUGAAAUGAAUGAAUCUACACAAACUCAUUUUUCGAUACCCUUAAAAUUUUACAUUUUAUGCAAUUUAGUCUUUCAAUUCGAAAUACUCAUAACUUUAAAUUUUGAGCCUCAAUUUAAAAAUCGAUUUCACAUAUAUUCAUUAGGUACCCUCCACUUCCUAUUCAUAUCGAAAUUUCACAACAAUUUUGUAUUUUAUUCAAUUUGGUUCUUAUGUUCGAAACAAAUAAUUAAGUUAAAUUAAUUUUACAAUCUAGUCCUUUUUCAUAAUCUAAGCUUAAAAUGUAUCAAUUUCAAAACUAAUUCUUUAAGAAAUCAACAAUGACAACUUUUCUUUAACAUAUUUACAAAUUGGUACAAGGUUAGCUAAAUUAAAUUCCCAUGAACUCAAAUACAUAAAAAUUUCAAGAAAAAGUCCUAAAUACCUUCAUCUCUCCUCGGUCGAAAGUUUGGAUGCUUGGAAGGGUUUUUCUCUUUUGUUGAUCUAUGGUGGACGGUCAUUUGAAAAAGAAGAUAGUGGAAUUUUUCAUUAUCUCAAUCUUAUAUACUUUAAUUAACUAAAGAUAAUCUAACUAAUUACUUUAACUUAGUUUUUUUAACUUAAAAAUUACUUAUUAUUAAUUCUUAAUGGGAUAUGGAACCAACAUCCACUAACUCGUAUUUAUUUAUGGGCUAUUAGGCCUUUGGUUAAUUGCUAUUUAGGUUCUCAAGCCUUUUGUCAAUUAAAAUUUCUUAGCGAUUGAACUUUUACAAUUUAAUUCUUGAGUCUUAAUUAACUAUUAAUUUGAAAAAAUUACUAGACCAAACUUUAAUAUGUUCUUGUAUCAUCUCCGUAAAUAUUUAUAUUUAAUAUUUAUGGACUCGAUUUACGAAAAUAAGGUUUCAGAAUUGCCUUUUUCGAAACCACUGAAAAUUGGGUUAUUAUGUAACUUAUUUAUAUAAAAAAAUAACUUUCUAAAGUUAUGUCAAAAAAUUAUAUUAUUUAUAAGAAAUGUUAUAAAAGUUUUGGACAAUUUAUAAAUUUUUUUUAUAAAGAUUAUAUAUUAUUUUUUAUUUAAUUUACGUAUUAUAAAAAUAUAUAUAUAACUUAGCAUAAGUCUUUCUCCAAAUUAAGUUUAUAUAUGUUCAUAUAAUUAAAGCUAUAGACUAUUUGGACCAUGAUCUCAAAUAUUAUAAGUGUAACAGCCCGGUUUUAGUUAAAUCAAAACAGUGAUUUCAGAACCACAAAUCCGAAGUCGUAGAAUUAUUUUAAUAUUAUUUUUGGUAUUUACAGCAUGUUAAUUGAUAUGUGUGAAAAUUUCAUAAAUUAAUUUUACCGUUUGUAUGCUUAAUUUGAUAAAAAGGACUUAAUCGCGUAAAUUGUAAAAGUGGCAUACUAAUUGUGUAAGUAUUUAUUUGCUAUGAUUAAUUAACUAUGAAGCCCUUAAGUGGUUAUUUGACCCUUAGUUAAUUGAGUGGACGAUUUUGGGUUUAUAAUAUAUGGUUUUCUUAUUAAAUUAUAAAGGUUAGUUUUGUAAAUUAGUAAUAUAAGUUAAUAUAAUAAAACAUAAGUAAAAUUUUAGCAUGUUCAUCUUUCUAAUUGAUGAAAGUUGAGAAGAAAAGAAAGCUUUGAAUGUGGUUUUAGGUUCGGCACUCAUUUUUCUCAAUUAAGGUAUGGAUUUUAUUCGGUUUUUGAUAAUUUUUACGUUUUUGAGAUCGUUGCUUUGAAUACUAGCUAGCCCAUGCUUGAAUUUUCAAAAUUUUUGAUGUAUUCAUGAUUUGCAAUUGAUGAUAGCCUAAUGUUUUUGUUGUUUGAUGAUGAAAAAUAAAUAUUUGUUGAUAGAUUAUUAUGUUUAAUUAAGUGACUUUUAAUAAAAAUGUUUAUUAAGGAUUAAAUUGUGGAAUUUGCAAAUUGAAGGGGUCAAAAUAUGGUAUAAAUGAAAUAAAUGGGUUGCUAGGGACCUAAUGAGAAUUUGGCCUAACAUGGUUUAUUGAAAUUUUGAGUAUUUUGUGUUGUUUUAAAUUAGGGAUUAAAUUGUGAUAAUGUGAAAUGUUAGGGGAUAAAGUGCAAAUUACCCAUUUAUGUGUUUUUGGAUGAAAUUGAAUGAAUUUUUAAUUAACUAAGUUAAAUUUGAAUUUAUUUAAAUCAAGAAAAGAGAAAAUCAGAUUUGGAUCGAGGGAAAUCAAAAGCUAUCGAAUAGUCGUUCUGGUCCGUACGAGGUAAGUUCAUAAAUAAUAAGUGUUCUUGAAUUCAAAUGUAUAUAUUAAAUAACUUUCCGAAUUGAAUUGUAUAUAUAUACACAUGUUGCCGAAAUUAAAUGGAGUAUUGGCUGACUUGUUAUAAGCAUGAAUUGAUCGAAUUACAAAAUAGAAAGCCCCGUAUGAACCUUAGGAAAUGUGUAGGAUACUGAUGUCAUGACAUUAGGAUUUCCGAUGUGUGAUUCGUGUAAGACCAUGUCUGGGACAUUGGCAUCGAAGUGAGAAAAUGUGUAAGACCAUGUCUGGGACAUUGACAUCGUAUAUAAUUUGUGUAAGACCCUGUCUGGGACAUUGAUAUCGUAUAUAAUUCAUGUAAGACCCUGUCUGGGACAGUGGCAUCGAUAUGUGAUAACAUGUAAGACCAUAUCCGGGAUAUGGCAUUGUACGAGCUUAUAUGAUUUUCGUGUAUCCUUAACAAUUCCAAAUGGUUCAACGGGCAAUGUCAAGUCAGGACCAAAUGUGAAAUUUGAGCUAAAUGGAUCAGGUACGUGUGAAGUUUUUAUGUUUAUGAAAGUUAAGGUAAGUAAAGUACUUAAUGUGAUCAUAUGAACUACAUGAGAAAUGUGAUUAUAUAUGUGUGUGGAACUAACUAGAUUCAACUAUUUCGAAUUGAAUUAUGAAUGUUCUUGUGAUGAUUUAUUUGCUUAUGGGUUACUAAGCUUUCCAAACUUACUUUGUGUGUUUAUUCGUUGUUUUAUAGAUUUAUAAAGCUAGCUCGAGUUAGGGGAUCGUCAAGGAACUUCGUCACACUAUCGAUCGCUAUUUCGAUACUUUGAAAACUUGUAUUUAUGAUUUAUGGCAUGUAUAGAUUAGUUUCGAUAAUGUUCAUUUUGAUUUGUAUAUAUGUAGCCAUGCAAAAAUGGCUUGCUAAUGAUGUUUAUGUUUGUGUAUUUUCAAUCACGGUAUAAGCUCAUUUUGUGAAGUAUGUUUCAUGGUAUAUCUUGUGUGAUGUUUGGUUUUAUAAAACCGGUUUGAAUGAUACUAAUGUGGUUGAUAGAUGUGUAUUUGGGUGUGGUUUUAUUACGUAAGUUGGCUAUGCAAAUGAGCUUAUUCUGUGAAUUGAUAAAUGGAAGUGAUGUUUACAUUCAAUCUUGUAUUUCGAAAAAUUUGGUAUAGACAUGAAGAUGAUUAUUUAGUUAGAUGUUAAUUUCAUAAGCGUAUGUAAUUACUUUGGUUGUUUUGUGAGAUAAAAUUUAGGUUAUAUAAUGCUUGUUUAUAUUCGACUAAUCUUAAGUAAAAUAAAUGUAUGUGCCUAUGAUAUGAUCAUUUGUGGUUUGGCUAUUUGGGUAAGAUUUGUGAUGAUAAAUAAUGAAUGUGAUUUACUUGUUAAUUGGUUGGUCAUUUUGGAUACUUAGGUAAUGGCUAAUAAUGAUCAUGUUUUGUUGUCAUAAUGUUAUUUUAUCAUGUGCCGUGUUAUUAAUCUAGCUAGCCUAUUUGAUAAGAAAUGAUUUGGUUAUGUGUGUGUAAUAUUGACAUAUUGAUUGGUACAUGGGUCUUGUAUGUUGGUUCAACAAUUGAGCUAGGAAAUAGCUAUUGAUAAUAAGGUGACUAUACGCAUAUAUAUAUAUAUGGAUGGUAUGAAAAGUAUAUUUGAUCAUGUUAUAAAUUAAUUAAUGUCGUAUAUGUGAAUGAAAAAUUAGGCCAUGUAAUAUGGUUGUAAUUUUGUUUUUAAUAUGUGCAUGUACAGAAAUUUAUAAAAAUGAUAUGAUUAACAUUUAGUUAACGAAAUAAAUGUAUUGGCAUAUAUUCGAUGCAUGAAAUGUAAAGAUAUAUGUUUGGAUAUGUGUAACGCCCCUAACCUAAAUAUGUCACUGGAAUAGAGUUACGGAGCAUUACCGGAGUUACCGAUUCAUUUAUCAGAUAUUUCAUUAAUCCGAUAUCUUUUCUUUUCCACGUUCAAGUCUCGUAUUUGAGUCAUCCGGAUCUUUAUAAAUAAAUUUGAUCGUCAUUUUCAUUUAUUUCAUGUUAUAAUACAUUCAACUAAUGCUCUAAACAAAAUUACCAUUUUACCCCUAAACUUUUAAUUAAUGACGAUUUCAUCCUUAGGUUAAAAUAAAAUAAAAUUCUUGCAAUUUAAUCCUUAUUUCCAGCCGUUAUUCUCAAACAAAUUGAUAACAACCCAUGAAUUCUAUAAAAUAUCAGAAUUUUCCGUAAUUUCAACACUUUUCAAUUUAAUCCUUAAAACAUGUUUUUCCCUGAUCUUGAGCUAAAUUAUUAAUUUCAUUCAAUUUUGUAAUUUUAAAUAAUAAAAUAAUCCAUUUCAUUCAAAUUGGUCAUUUUUAACAUUUUUUUACAAAAUUGCCCAUAAAAUUUUACUUUUAUUCAAUUUAAUCCAUGAGCCUAAAACAUGCAAAUUAGCCAUGCUAGCUGAAUAUUCAUACAUAUUUUCCUCCUCCUCCUCUCCAUUCCACAUCCUUAAUUUAUAUAACAUGCAACAAGUAACAUUAUCAAUAAUUUCACUAUUUACUUAUAUGUAUAUUCAAAACUGUCCAUUUGCGUCAUAGUUACUAAAUUAUUUAUAUCUUAAGAUACAGAACUCAAAAUUAAGAUCCGCUAAUUUUCCUUGAAACUAGACUUACAUAUCUUAUUACCAUAAAAUUUUCAUAAUUUUUGGUUUAGCCAAUAAAUACAAUUUAUUCUUUAAAUUUACCCCUGUUCUGCUGCAUGACAGUUCCGACCCUUCUUUACUAAGAAUUAAUUAUCUCAUCGUACGAGAUUCGGAUGAUGUUCCCGCUUAUUUCUAUUGAAAAUAUACUCUUUAAAUAUUUUAAACAUAUAAAUUUAAUCCCUUAAUUAUUUUUAUCCAAUUUUUGAUGAUUUUCCAAAGUCAGAACAGGGGAACCCGAAAUCAUUCUGACAUUGUCUCACAAAACUUAUUAUAUCUCAUGAUUUACAAUUUCAUUGCUUACACCAUUUCUUCUAUAAGAAACUAGACUCAAUAAGAUUUAAUUUCAUAUUUUAUUCAUCCUCUAAUUCGAUUUCUACAAUUUUUGGUGAUUUUUCAAAUUUAGACUAUUGCUGCUGUCCAAAACUGUUUUAGUGCAAAAUGUUAAUUUUCAUUUUGCCCCAAAUUUCACAGUUCAUACAAUUCAGUCCUUACUUAAUUAACCCCUCAAUUAAGCUAAUUUUAUCAAUUAAUACUUUUCCUAGAAAUUAUAAGUUAUUUCAUAACUAUUGAAAUUCAGAAUUUCCACAUAAAACUCUAACUUCAAACUCUUUUACAAUUUAAGUCCCAAACAUUCACUUUCUAUUCAAUUCUUUCAAUAAAAUCAGCAUAUAAACAAUUUAAAGCUCUAAUUCCAUGCCAAAUCAUCAUAUACUUCCAGCACAUAUUCAUAGAAACUUUCAAUUUCUUUCAUAGAAUCAAGAACUAAUGAAUUCAACAAGUGGACCUAGUUGUAAAAGUUACAAAAACACAAAAAUUUCAAGAAAUAAUCAAGAAUUGAACUUACUUGUAGUAAAAAUAUAAAAAAACAGCUUAAGGGAACUCUUCCAUGGUGUUUUUGCUAAUGAGAAUGCAGAAAAAUAAAGAGAAAUCUAGAUAAUUCAACUUUAGUCCUAGCUUUAUUAAGUAAAUUUUGUAAUUUUCUAAUUUUGCCCUUAAUUCCCCUUAUUUUCUUGCUGAUUUCAUGCCCUUGCCGUCCAGCCCAAAUAGACCUUGGGUAUAUUUGCCUUUUAAACCCUCUUUAGUCCUUUUUGUUCAAUUAGCUAUCAGUACUUUAAAAUUUCUUGACGAAACUUUAAUACUAACUUAUUAACACUCCAUAAAUAUUUAUAAAAAUAUUUAUGGCUCGAUUUAAAAUUUUUGAGGUCUCGAUACCUCGUUUUCGAUUCUAAUUAUUUUAAUAUAUAUAUUUUUAGUACACUAUUCACUAUUUCAAAAUUUUUCCUAACUUCACAUUUAACUUAUACUCACUAAAUUAAUAAUAUUUUCUACUCAUUUGUCGGAUUUAGUGAUCUCGAAUCACUGUUCUAACACCACUGAAAUUUAGGCUGUUACAAUAUGUAUUAAGUACAUGUAACAUGGCUUUGUUGCACAGUAGUUAAUUCGAAUAUGUGGUUAAAUAGUUAAUAUUGGCAUGUUUAAAUUUAAAGCAUGAUUUGCUUAUGUAUUAUAAGUUUGUACAUGAUUUUAAAUUGAAAAAAAUUUGUUCUGAGACGUGUUUUGGUCUAUAAUGCCUCGUAACUCCAAUCUGGAGUCGAAUAUGGGUUAGGGGUGUUACAAUAAGGUCAAUGCUAAUUAUGCAAAUAGAAAAUAUUUUCUUGCACCAUAUCAUGAGGUAUGAUACUAUUUGAGAGAAUGAUGCUAAACGCAAGUACCUUAGGCAACUCUCAAACUCUUUAAUUUGAAACAUUCAAAGCUUCAAAUAUGGUUGAGAAGACAUUUAUUGUUCUCAAAAAUAAUUUUCUCAUAUUAACAACAUCACCUUAGUAUAGCAUAAAAAAUAAUAUCGGAUCAUACUAACAGGUUGCAUAUUUCAUAACUUCAAUCAUAAGUGGAAUUGAGAUGAUCCAUAAUUCGAAAAGUAUAUGGAAAAAAGAGAUCGUGAAAAUCUUAAUUAUGCAGAUUUAGAUUCUGAUUCGAAUGAUAAUGAACUCGGUCAAGGACCAACAAAGUAAAAAGCAUAUGUUAAAUAUUAAAGAGGGAAUAACUCAACAAAUACGCACUAGAACAAUAAGAUAGAUUUGCAUAUGAUAUUUAUUUUUCUUGCUAUUUUUGAUAGUAGUCGUAUUAUUAACUACUUUUUUAGACUAACAUAAUUCAUAUGAUGGUUUGAUUUUAAUUUUUUUUAUUUGAUUAGAAAUUAUUUUUAUGAUACUAAUAAUUUUUUAAAAAAUAUAAAUUAUGUAACUGUAUAAUUACAAUUUGUACUACCAAAUAUGACACAGGGAAUUAUAAUAUAAUUACACUCUGUCAGUUAAACGCAUCUAAGGUACAAAAGAGUGUAAUUACUACCCUUCAAUAAUUACAUUCUCGUUCAAUUACUUUAUGUUAAAAUUAAGGAAAGAAGGUUAGAAUUAAUUAUGGAAUCUAUUCAUAUAUGUGUGUGAAGACAAAAAAGGAGGAACUUGGAUGUUGGAUCAAGUGAAAAAUGAAAGGAGAAAGCAAUAGAGUAAAAGAAAGUGUGAUAUUCAAGUGCUAGAGUUGUAAGUACUUUUUGAAUUUUAUUUACUUAGAGUAUGUGUGCUUUUGUUAAAUUGAGGAACUAAAUUUUAAUUAAUGGAAUUGGUUAAUUGUAGUUAUGAAAAAUUUUGACAUUAAAAAUUAGUAGUUAAUGUAACAUUUUAAAACUCCCUUAAUCGUAAAUAGUAGAAUUUUCGAAAGAAAUAGAAAUAGAAUUUAUCAGUAGAAAAAGCCGAUGGAUCCCAAAGUUAGUUGAAUCAAAGAAUUAUACUAUGAUGUAUUAAUUUAAAUUAGGGACUAAAUCACAAAAAUGUGAAAAGUAUUGUGGAUCUAAUAUAAAUAUUUAAAAUUUAUGGGGUCAAAAAAUAAAUAUAGAAAAGUUCAGGGAACAGAAGUACAAAUACCUUAGAGGUGGAAAGUCCAAAAUGUGGAAUAAAUUGGUAUAUGAGGACUAAAUGGAAUAAGUGGAGAAAUGAAAGAGACUAAGUUAUAAUUUUGCCAAAAGUGAAAAUUGGUCAAUAGUGGAAUUGUAGAGAAUUAGAGAGUCAAAAUGGUUAUUUCUCAAUUAAGAUAAUUAUCAUGUAUUAUCAUGAUAAUAUUUAGUGAAUAUUUGUUGUUGAGAUUUUAUUGGUUGAAAUAUUAUUUUAUUAUAAGAAUUUUGUUAUUAAUUAAUGGUUAAGUAAAAAGGAAAAGAUGAAAAUACAUUAUCAUCAUCUUCUCCAUCAUUCACACCACCACCAUGAAAGAGAGAAGUUUUGAAAGUUAUUCAAUUUAGUUCUUUCCAUCAAAAUUCACCAUGUUGACCCAAAAAUCAAAUAAAUUUUCAUAGCCACCAAGAAGAAAAAGUAAUAAGAAGACUAUGGUGAAUAUAAAUAUCAUCUUGGACUCAAGAAAACAGAAGUUGGAGGAUAGAGAAAAUUAAGUUAUGAUCUAAAAUCAAGAAAACAAGAUAAGAGCCUUAAGGUUUCAUCAAAAUUUUUUUUGGGGGGCUUAAUCUUGUUUGAAAAGCAUGAAAAUGACGUUGAAGUAGAGUUUUCUUAUAUAAAGUAUUAUGUUGUUAACAUGUUCAUGAAGGGAAAAAGAAAGAGAGUGAUAAAGAUGUGAAAGAAAGUAAAAAGAAGCAAGAGAAGUGAGAUUUAGUAAGAAAAAACUAAAUACCCUUGAAUUCUAUUUGUUACCUAAGGAUUAGAUUGUAAAGAAUGCUAAGUUUAUUCAGGAUAAUUACAUGAAAUUGAUAAGUACAUGUAAAUGUAUGUUUCUACAUCCUUCUUACGAAAAGAAUUUAUAAGUAGAGGUAUGUAAUGGAAGUCAUAAAAGAGAGUAAAUGUUAAAGGUUUUACUAAACAGUUUUUUUGGAUAAUAACCAGUUCCAACUUUGAAAAUUUACCAAAAUUUAUAGAAAUUUAGCUAGAGGUUAAUCCAAACAUGAAACUCAAGAUUAUUGAGUUUAUUUUUUUUAUAGAAAAAAUGGUGUAAGUAAUGGAAUUGUAGAUUAUGAGAUAAGUAAAUUUAAGUGAGACAAGAUCAAAUUGAUUUCAGGUUCUCCUACUCUGAAUUUGAAAAAUCAUUAAAAAUUAUACAAAAAUAAUUAGAAGAUAAAAUUUAUAUGUAUAAAAAUCUUAAUGAGUCUGAUUUUAAUAGUAACAAACCAAAACAUUAUACAAAUUUUGUAUUGAAAAAUAAAUAAUUUUCAGUGGAAAAGGAUCAGAGCUACCUAAUAGCAGAAAAGUGGAAGAUUUGAAAAAAAAAUUGUAUUAAUUGGUUUGAUUUAAAUUUUUUGUCAUAAUUUUUAUAUUAAGGACGAGAUGUUUAGUUUCAAAAUUUUUCAAUGGAACUUGAUUAUCAAUUCUGAUGAAUAAGAUAUAAAUAAAAAAGUGACUACUGCGCAGUGAAUUGCACUGUUUUAAGUUGUUAAAUUUUAAAACUUAUAGACUAAAUAUGUAAAUGAAGUAAAAGUAGGUUAAAAUAUGAAAAUCAUAAAAUAAAUACUAGUGUGAAUAGUUUGACUUGGAGAAAAUAAUUUAAAAAGAAAAGUAAAAGUCUUAGAAAUAUUCUUAUACUCAUGUUGAGUAGGGUGUGCAAAUUUCGGGUAAAAUUAAUUUAACCGACUAAACUAAAUUAAUUCGGUUAAUCGGUUAGUUAAUCGAAUUAAUUCGGUCGGGAGUCAAUUAAUAAUUUUUUGAAAGUUUGAUUUACGGUUAAUUCGAUUCGAAAUCGGUUAAUUAACCGAAUUAACCGAAAAUUUAUAUUUUUAUAUACAUUUUACAUAUAUUAAAUUCGGUUAAGUUUUGAUAUGUUUUAUACUUGUUUAAAUAAAAAAAAUAUAAAUUUCAGUUAAUUUAGUUAAUCAACCGAAUUAAUCGAAAAAGUUCGGUUCGGUUAAUUUCUUUUUAAAAAUUUUCAAUUUGGUUAACGGUUAAAGAUUUAAAAAGUUCGAUUAAUUCGAUUAAUACUAAUUCAGAUUAAUUAACUGAUUGAGCACCCCUAAUAUUGAGUAUUGAAAAUAUAAUAUUUGAUUUUAAUCUAUUAUUAAAUAAAUUUUGUAUACGCGCGCAAAUUCUAAGUUAAAAGUUUAGAUGAAGAAGAUAGAACGUAAUAUAAAAUAAUAAUAAUAAUAACGGAAUUUUUUCUAGAAAAUUUUUGGACUCAAAACGUUCAGAGCACGUUUGGUUCGCUGUAUUGGAUUAGAGGUGUAUUGGAUUAGAGGUGUAUUGGAUUAGAGGUGUAAUAGAAUAGAGGUGUAAUAGCAAAUCAACUGUUUGGUUGAAUGUAAUGGAAUAGAGGCGUAAUAGUAAAACUGGUGUUGGUUGAAUGUAAUAGAGGUGUAAUAGCAUAAUAGAAAAAACUAAAAUGACCAGAAUACCCUUAGCAUAAAUUUGUUUUGGUAAAUGAUUAUUGUUAUUGUAUUUAAAUUUUAAUAAGAUUAUUUAUUAUCAAAAAUAAAUAAUUUAAUCAUAUUUAAACAUAAUUAUUAUUUAAUAUAUUUUAAUUAAAAUAUAUAAUUUAAAAAAUUCUUAAUAAUUAGCAGAAAUUUGUUUUGGUAAAUUAUUUUAUUUAAAUUUUAAUAAGAUUAUUAAUAUCAAUAAUAAAUAAUUUAAUCAUAUUUAAACAUAAUUAUUAUUAAAUAUAUUUUAAUUAAAAUAUAUAAUUUAAUAAAAUUCUUAAUAAUUAAUAUUCUUAAAAUACUCAAACCAUAAUAUAUUAUACUAAAAUAUAAUUAAAAUAUAUAAUUUAAUAAAAUUCUUAAUAAUUAAUAUUCUUAUAUGAAUUUACUCAAAUCAUAAUAUAUGAUACUAUAAAAUAAAAUUUUAAAUAAUUAAUAUUAAAUAUAUUUUAAUUUAAAUAUAUGAUUUAAUAAAAUUUAAAAUAAUUAUAACUAAUAAAUUAUAUUUUAUGAAUUUGUAUAAUUUAAAAUAAUAAUUAUUACAUAUAAUUUAAUAAUAAUAUAAAAUUUCAUAAAAUUCUUGAUAAUAAAUUUUCUUAUAUGAAUUUAUACAAUUUAAAAUAAUGCCAAUGCCAACACUACCACAUUUGGGUUCAAAUUAUACUCAUAGUAAGCUCAAACUUUUGUUGAUGCCAAUGCCAACACUACCAAAACCUUUUGGACAAUUAUUUCGAAGAUUUAAACCAACAAAAAGAAAAUCAAUAAGUAAUAAAACCAUAGAAAAUAAAAGAAAAAAUUUGCCUUUGAAGCACAUUCAAUUGUGCACUUGGUUCUCUUUGAUAUCUCCAUGAUUUCUUCAUCUUUAUUCAUAAUAUCAAACAUAGGCAAACAAAACGAUAAUUGUAACCCCCUACCCCUACCAACAUUUUAUUGUAAGUAUAACUAACACAGGAUAACUAGUUGGCCUCUUAAAACAGUCAAAGACCAGACCCCAAACCAAACCAAACUGCUAAACAACAAAGCAGACAUCAUUAAAAAGACCCCAUCCCCAGAUUGCAUCAUUUUCAAUUCUUAGAAAUGAGGAGCAUAGAGCUGGAGAACCUUCUGCUAGGACGGUCUGCUGCUAAUAUCAUCCCACCAAGCACUCACAUGCUUCCUGCUGGUUGUCAUGUAUUAGGGAUCACUUCCAGAACCCUGUUUUCCCCUAGCAACAUUUGCAAACUCACAAGCUCCAGACAACAAGGGACUGGAGAUGUUACCGUUAGCAUACUACACGUGUGAUUGCAAAUUUAUGAACAUUCAACUACAAAAGUCCAGAACCUACCAAAAUUUCUAAGCCAAUACCUCAGAAUCGAUUUGCUGAAUAUUGGGGAAAAUUUGUUUCAGGGUAGCAUUAUAGUUAGAAGACUGCGCUUGCAAUAAAACAGUACAGUUGAUCACAUAUGAGAAAGGUUAGGAGAGAAGAAUGACUACUAGGCCAGUAUAGAAGAUUGAGAAACGUCAAACGAUAAUCACCAAUUGUGCAAAUAACUCUAUAGCUAAAAUGAAUGCAAUAUGCCAAGGGGAGGAUGAUGAUAUAGACUUAACUGAACUUAGCCCAGGAAGGUAGAAAACUACUUUAGAUGGAUGCCACUACUUUGGUGAUCAUAUAUUUAAUCACCUAUAGCUAGAUUCAGAUCAUCCAUAAUUUCAACUAUUAAACCAUCACAUUAUGCGCAGAUGAAAGUGACACAGCUUAAUACUAGCUUGAGAAGCUGGUUCAUUCAUUAUUUGCAAAUUACUCAGAAGUGGUUCAAUAGUUUAGUUUAUAUAUAGAUACGAGUCUCCACAGCAUAAACAAGAAUAAUACCUAAAGUUGAAAUGCAAAUCUUAGCACAAACUCUUGGCCAACAGAUCAAGAAAACAUUUAACAAAAAAGUACCUGCUUUAUUAGGCAAACAAAGACGAGAAAAACACAUUGCAAUGUUGGAAUUGAAAGGAGAAAUGAAACAAACAUUGAGAUUUCGAAAAAGUACUUUACUCCAGAGGUGUCAAGCAAAUAUACCAAAAAAAAUAUAAGCCAGAAAGUUUAGAAGAUAAUACUCAAGAGGUUUAUAUAAAAGUUAACAAGUGGAAAAAAACAGAAGGAUUAAAAUCAUACCUGAUGCCCCUACUACUACCUCCCCAAUCACAAUAGCUUACAAUUAGCUUUUUAAGUUGCUAAACUCCUCGCAACUUAGCAUUUCAACUACACAAAUUCACAAUGUAACCUACUAAUUACAAUGUAACCUACUAAUUACAACUUCGACCUACUACAAAUACUCAACACCUCCUACAACUUAGCAUUUCAACUACACAAAUACUCAACACCUCCUACAACUUAGCAUUUCAACUACACAAAUUCACAAUGUAACCUACUAAUUACAACUUCGACCUACAAAUUUAUAUUCUACAACAAACAAAAAUCCCGCUUCUAAUCAACUAUCCUUAAUGUAACAUAUAAUGAGGAAAAAGAAAACAAUAUUUCAAAGAUUCUAUCACAGGAAAAAAAAUCAAAUCAAAACAGAAAAUUUGAAUAGCAUACAUAUAAAUGGUCUUCUAAAAUUGACCAAGAAAAAAGAAAACAACAACAUUUUCAAACCCAAUAACUUGAACCCAAAAUCACCCCCCAAACAAUAGUUUGCAUGCAAAGAGAUUAUAAAUAACAGCAGAAAAAACAUAGAUCUAGUAAAAAGAGACUCGAAUUAGAAAAAAAUUAUAAAGAAAGAAAAAUAGAACAGAGAAAUCAACAGGCAAGAAUGCAAAUAAAGGGGAAAAAAUAAUAGGCAAAAUAUGGGAAUUUUACCUGACAAAUGAAAUCGAUUCCCAGAGAAGACGAUGAGUGUCUAGACACGAAUGAAAAGCAUCCAACUUAUAUGAUAUUCCCGAUUAGAAGUGUUUCGAAAUUCGACAAAGAUAAAUAAAAUCAAAAUCAAAAUCGAUUCUACAGAAAAGAAAAGAAAAGAAAAACAGGGAAAAAUUUGGAAGAAGAAGCAGAAAUAUGGAGAAAAAAAAUGGAGAAAAGAAAAGAAAUGUGAGAAGAAAAGAAGCGUACCGUACCAGAAGAAGAAGUAGAAAUCUAGAAAGGAAAAAAUUGAGAAACGUCGGAAGAGGAUGAGGGAAAAGAAAUUACCUGUGCAAGGAAGCGUGGGAGAAUCGGAGCGUUGAGGACGAGGGCAGAAAACGGAAGAGAAAAAAGGGAAAGACGCGGAAUGGGUAAUCGGCGCUGAGGGAGCGUAAUGCCUAUUACCCGCAGUCAAUGUAAUGGGGGAGUAACUGAUUCGGCGCGGAAUGAGAAAACAGCGAACCAAACGCCGGAAUAGGUCGGUAAUGUAAUAGGCGCGUAAUCGGGGAGUAAUGGUAUACCUAUUACAGCGAACCAAACACGCUGUCAGUAUUUUGGGGGGUUUUUUAAUGGUUUAAUUAUUAUUUUUAUUUUGGCUAAUAAAAAGUAUUCAGCUAAUUAUUUUUUAGUCCUUUAGAAUUGGUAGACUAUGCAAAUGUGAUGGCAAAUUGUGCCACGUGAAACAAAGGCGAAAAAAGUUUAGAUUAUUAUUUAAAAGGAUCAAAAUUGAAUAAUUAAUUUGGAGAACAAAAAAUAUAUAAUUUUAUUAUUAUACUUAUUUUUAAUUUUAUAAAUUUUAAAGAGGUUAAAAAGAAUUAUUAUGUUGGGGGCCAAAAUCACUACUUAUAAUGAACUCACAUGUCUACAAGUCAAACUUUAGAACCAUUAGCUAGAGUUGUCAUAGGAUAAAUGGUGUUAAAUUCAAAUACUAAAAAUUCGAUUAUUUAAAAAUUUAAGUAACAUAUUAAAAGACCAAAUAUCUCAUUAUUCCAAAGUAAAGCAUAUAAUCAAGCACGACAUCAUAUAAAAUUCAAUGGAAAAGAAGAGAAAAUGAUCAUAUAAUUACUCUAGCCAUCCCCGUCUUCAAGCUUGACUUGAACUAUCAUGGUGGAAACAAAAUAAAGAACUCCAAGUUUGUUUUUACAGAGUAAAUUUUCUCCUUUUUCCCUUUUUCUUUUAACCACGUGGUCAGCAUGCAGCGCAGUUCGCCAUCAUGUAAAAGCCAUUGGAUUGUUUUCUGUGACUUGCCACGUUGGGAGCAUGCACUAAUCCACAUUCCAUAUGUAGUCUAAGAAUCCCUGUAAUCUUUAGUCUCUCGGAUCACAUUGUGCAAGCAAAAGAAAAAAAGAUGGGAAAAUCAGGCUACUCAAAGCUUCACAUCGCCAGGUUUCCCUGGGUUGCAUAUGGUCAUUUCAUCCCCUUCCUUCAUCUCUCAAAUAAGUUGGCUCAUAAAGGCCAUAAAAUUUCCUUCAUUUUGCCUAAAGGAGUGCAACCAAAGCUGGAAAACAGGAACCAAUACCCCAACUUGAUUCAAUUCGUCCCUCUAGUUAUACCCCAUGUCGAUGGCCUCCCUCCAGGAGCUGAGACUACAUCUGUUGUUACUCUGAACCAACAAAAGUACCUUGCUUUUGCUGUAGAUCAAACCAGGGACCAAGUUGAAGGCAUCCUAGAGGCUUUAAAACCUGAUAUGGUUUUUUAUGAUUUCUGGUUUUGGAUCCCAGACUUGGCUCGCCAACUUGGGAUCCACCCCAUAUGCUAUGUAGUGGUUUCCUCGAUGAUCAUGUCGUUAGGAUCAAACA
rnacentral:lncRNA from 1 species